UUAUAGGACGAGAAGACCCUAUAGAUCUUUACAGUUUAUUAGGUAUAAUGAUUUGGUGAAUUAUUUAUGAUUAUUCAAUGAUUUGUUUGAUUGGGGUGAUUGUGGAAUUCUUUUACUUCCAUUAUUUUUUUUCAAUGAUUAUUGUUUUAUUUGAUCCAUUAGUAAUGAUUAGAAGAUUAAGUUACCUUAGGGAUAACAGCGUAAUUUCUUCGGAGAGUUCAUAUUGAUGAGGAAGUUUGCGACCUCGAUGUUGGAUUAAAAUUAGUGUUAGGUGUAGCAGCUUAAUAACUAGGUCUGUUCGACCUUUAAAGUUUUACAUGAUCUGAGUUCAGACCGGCGUAAGCCAGGUCAGUUUCUAUCCAUAA
rnacentral:ncRNA from 1 species